UAGUCCGCACCGUAAACGAUGCUCACUCGUUGUUGGCGAUAUACUGCCAGCGACCAAGCGAAAGCAUUAAGUGAUCCACCUGGGGAGUACGAUCGCAAGGUUGAAACUCAAAGGAAUUGACGGGGGCCCGCACAAGCGGUGGAGCAUGUGGUUUAAUUCGAUGAUACGCGAGGAACCUUACCAAGGCUUAAAUGCAGAACGACCUCCCGGGAAACCGGGAUUUCUUCGGACGGACUGCAAGGUGCUGCAUGGUUGUCGUCAGCUCGUGCCGUGAGGUGUCGGGUUAAGUCCCAUAACGAGCGCAACCCCUAUUUCUAGUUGCCAGCGGAUAAUGCCGGGGACUCUAGAGAAACUGCCCGCGCAAGCGGUGAGGAAGGUGGGGAUGAUGUCAAAUCAUCACGGCCCUUACGUCUUGGGCUACACACGUGCUACAAUGGCGAGUACAAAGGGCAGCUACCUGGUGACAGGAUGCUAAUCUCGAAAACUCGUCUCAGUUCGGAUUGGAGU
rnacentral:rRNA from 1 species